rnacentral:rRNA from 1 species
GACGAACGCUGGCGGCGUGCCUAACACAUGCAAGUCGAGCGGGGUUCGAAGCGAAGAGGUAACUCGAACUUCUACCUAGCGGCGGACGGGUGAGUAACGCGUGGGCAACCUGCCUCAAGGUCUGGGAUAACAGCCCGAAAGGGCUGCUAAUACCGGGUAUGCUUGUGGCCUCGCAUGGGGCUACGAGCAAAGGGGAAACCCGCCUUGAGAUGGGCCCGCGUCCCAUCAGCUAGUUGGUGAGGUAACAGCUCACCAAGGCGACGACGGGUAGCCGGCCUGAGAGGGUGACCGGCCACACUGGGACUGAGACACGGCCCAGACUCCUACGGGGGGCAGCAGUGGGGGAUCUUGCACAAUGGGCGAAAGCCUGAUGCAGCGACGCCGCGUGAGCGAAGAAGGCCUCGGGUUGUAAGCUCUGUCUGGAGGGACGAAGGAAGUGACGGUACCGUCCGGAGGAAGCCGACGGCCUAACUACGUG